GGUCAGUUGUGAUGAGCUGCAUGUUAGUCCGUGUUUCACCUGACACUAAUGAUUAUUCACAUGCUCUGAACUAGACC
ensembl:snoRNA